rnacentral:misc_RNA from 1 species
AUAGUUGGUCGUUCUUGGGCAAAACUAGUUAUUUAUAUCCCUGCUGUUUUAAAUUACUAAUUAUUUACGUAUUAAUUACACGUAAGCAAUGCAGUGUUUACAAAAAUAUUGCGGCUCGCCGAACAGAUUGGUGGAACGCGGCCUGGAUUUGCAUCUGCGUGCAAAACGCGCCAAAGAUUGUCUGCGUUGGGGUUCUUUGAAUGUAGUGCUGCUAGCAAUCCUGCUUUUCGACAUAUCUAAUCAGUGUCCAUAUGCGUACUCCAAAUGGUACUAUGUAGAAUAUUUGGCGGCUGCGCUAUCGGGACUUGGAGCAUUUUCAUGCUUCUUAAAGUACUUUCUCUACCUAUUCCAUACAAAUCCGAUAUUGGGUACAAAGGAACAGAAAAACUUACUCAAGUUUGAUGAGUGUGAUUCCUCAUUUGUUGUUACACCACCAGCGCAAAGAAAAAAGCAAUCAUGCGAUGAUUUGGCGCCUAGUCAAAUCAACAACACUCUUCUAAGCUGGCAUUCAUCGUUUAACGACUCUCGCGCUGCCAUGUCUCACAAUUGGAGUUACAGCCGCACUACGCCGCCACGUACCAGCUUUAGCCCGCAGCAACAAACGGCACCGCAUAAUGCGUCCUGGAAUUCUUCUAUGGGCAACAGAUCACUCACGCUUCCAGCAAAUACUAGUGGUUUAAACAAUACCAAUCCCAUGAUCGAAUCUUAUCCUAAAUACAGGCGUGAGGAGCUGAUAACAGAUAAAGAGACCCUAAAACAAUAUCUAAAAGAAUUUUCUAUGCAUGAGCAAAGCAUGAACGACACAGCCGAUGUGAGCCAUCACUAUAAUACAGGUUCAGUGAAUUCAUUCUGGAACUAUUGCAAUACAGCAGCAAAUAUGCUAAAAACUUCCAUUUAUCAAUUGGCUCCAAUGACAACGCCUUCCAUACCUAGUAAACAAUCAGCAAGCGAAGAUGGUGGCCUCAAAUUUAUGGAUAGCAAUUCGGAGAUUAUAAGACGUAUUUCAUCUGAAAAACUAUCGCAAUAUGUGGCCAAUUUGCGAAGGUGGAUGUCUGCAACCAUUCUGGAGCGUUUAGCUAAAGAAAUUAAAAACAUAGAUGAGUCAUUUAAGAAUCGUGGAUUCGCUGAUAUGCGUAUGGGUGGCAUUGGACUGGAGCGCCUAAAGAAAACUGUUGAAAACCAACAAUUUGUUAAUCAGUACAUGCCAAUGUUGCCAUUGAUUCUGCCAUUUUUGGAAAUGUCUAGUAAUCAAGAGUAUCUAGUACAGCGGAUUAAAGAUUUGGCAGAAGGCUCUUGCAUAGCUGACUACCGCUGGAACUCAGGUGCAGCUUACCAUGGUCUAAAAUGGGAUGAGCAUCUACCCACUGAUUCGGCUAUAUUGUUUCACCUAUUUUGCGUUUACAUGGAUAGUCAACUAAUGCCUCUGCCACAAGGUGGUGGUCGCCCCUUCUUCAGUCGUUAUGUGAUUAUAGGCAAGGAGAAACGUUCUGCCAAGGAAACGGUAGCGCUUGUUCAAAAUAAAGCACACUGCGCUAUACUAUGUACGAACCCGCAGAAGCCACGUUUUAAUUUCAUAAGUGAUAAAGAAAUUCAUACAUGCGCCUACGAUCGUAAUAAUCUUUUCUAUGUGAUCAUACAAUUUUUAAUCUACAUGAAGACCCAUCAGGAAGGUGCUUUGGAAGGUGUCAAUCUUGGUAAAAGCGGCAUUAAUGUCUUGUGUGUCAUCGAAAGCUGAAUAUCGGAUUUAGCCAAGUAAUUUUUACGCUUUCCUCACUCAUACUCAUACAUAUUCUUACAAUAACCCACAAAUUAAGACACUUAAAAAUAAAAGUUCCUGCCAAAGUGUCUUUGCCUAAGGGGAAUUUCAGCAGUUGAUAAAUAACCCACAACGGAAAACACAAAAAGAUCGCGCAGAGUGAUAUGCCACGGUGAGA